GGCCUCGUAGCUCAGCUCGUAGAGCAUGCGCGUACAAAGCGCUGGCGGCGUCAAUGCUUGGGUUCGAGUCCCACCGAAGCUG
rnacentral:tRNA from 1 species